GUACUAGCUUCUCUGGCACAUAUACUACAAUUGGAAUGAUACAGAGAAGAUCAGCAUGGCCCCAAGCAAGGAUGACAUACAAAUUCAUGAAGUGUUCCAUAUUUUU
ensembl:snRNA U6 U6 spliceosomal RNA